rnacentral:rRNA from 1 species
UACGUAGGGACCAAGCGUUGUUCGGAUUUACUGGGCGUAAAGGGCGCGUAGGCGGCGCGGUAAGUCACUUGUGAAAUCUCUGAGCUUAACUCAGAACGGCCAAGUGAUACUGCAGUGCUAGAGUGUGGAAGGGGCAAUCGGAAUUCUUGGUGUAGCGGUGAAAUGCGUAGAUAUCAAGAGGAACACCUGAGGUGAAGACGGGUUGCUGGGCCAACACUGACGCUGAUGCGCGAAAGCCAGGGAGCAAACGGG